rnacentral:lncRNA from 1 species
CAUAAAAUAUGAUAGGGACACUCUCACUCAAGCUAUUGUUUCCGAUGCUUUAAAAUCAAGAGAACUUGAAUUAAAAAGAGACAACAGAACUCAUUCCCGGGAAGAGAGUCUAUUUGUUAGGGGAAGACCUGAAAAGAAAGAAUUUAACUUCCAUAACAAGAAGGGGAGAGGAAAAUCUAAAAUGAGAUCUAAAUCUAAAGAUAAAAGCGGUAAGAAAUGUUAUCACUG